rnacentral:rRNA from 1 species
CCCUUAGAUGAUUUGGGCUGCACGCGCGCUACACUGACCCUAACAAUGAGCAGCUGUCUGGCCUGAGAUGGCUGGGUAGCCUUUUCAACCCAUGUCAUGAUUGGGCUAGAUUUUUGUAAGUCUUGAUCUCUAACGAGGAAUCCCUAGUAUGCGUGAAUCAUCAAUCCAUGCAGAUUAUGUCCCUGCCCUUUGUACACACCGCCCGUCGCUCCUACUGAUUGGGUGAUCCGGUGAGCUGUUCGGCCAUAGCAAUGUUUCUUGAGCAGGGCAAUGAAUGUUUCGCAAACCUUGCCACUUAGAGGAAGGAGAAGUCGUAACA